GAUGAACGCUGGCGGCGUGCUUAACACAUGCAAGUCGAACGAUGAAGCCCAGCUUGCUGGGUGGAUUAGUGGCGAACGGGUGAGUAACACGUGAGCAACCUGCCCCUGACUCUGGGAUCAGCGCUGGAAACGGCGUCUAAUACUGGAUAUGUCCCGUCACCGCAUGGUGUGCGGGUGGAAAGAUUUUUCGGUUGGGGAUGGGCUCGCGGCCUCUCAGCUUGUUGGUGAGGUAAUGGCUCACCAAGGCGUCGACGGGUAGCCGGCCUGAGAGGGUGACCGGCCACACUGGGACUGAGACACGGCCCAGACUCCUACGGGAGGCAGCAGUGGGGAAUAUUGCACAAUGGGCGGAAGCCUGAUGCAGCAACGCCGCGUGAGGGAUGACGGCCUUCGGGUUGUAAACCUCUUUUAGCAGGGAAGAAGCGAAAGUGACGGUACCUGCAGAAAAAGCACCGGCUAACUACGUG
rnacentral:rRNA from 1 species